ACUGAUUGGGCUAGGGGGCUUCACCGCCUACCAACCCCUGACAAACUCCGAAUGCUAUAAUAUGUUUCUCAGCAGUGAGGGCAUGGGUGCUAAGGUCCAUGUCCGAGAGGGAAAGAACCCAGACCUACAGCUAAGGUCCCUAAAUUUGUAUUAAGUUGAACUAAGGAGGUUCAGUUGCUUAGACAGCCAGGAUGUUGGCUUGGAAGCAGCCAUUCAUUUAAAGAGUGCGUAACAGCUCACUAGUCGAGCGGACGAGCAUGGAUAAUAAUCGGGCAUAAACAUAUUACCGAAGCUAUGGAUUUGUAUUAUAUACAAGUGGUAGGGGAGCAUUGUAACAGGGUAGAAGGUGUACUGUAAGGUAUGCUGGACUGGUUACAAAAGAAAAUGUAGGCAUAAGUAACGAUAAUGCGGGCGAGAAACCCGCACACCGAAAGACUAAGGUUUCCUCAGCUAUGCUAAUCAGCUGAGGGUUAGUCGGGUCCUAAGGCGAAUCCGAAAGGAGUAGUCGAUGGAUAACAGGUUAAUAUUCCUGUACUUCUUAUAAUUGCGAUGGGGUGACGGAGUAUUGAAAGCACCGCGUACUGACGGAAUAGUACGUUGAAGACUGUAUUUAUAGAACUUAUAGGUAAAUCCGUAAGUUUUGGAGAAGGUUGAUAGUACCAUAAAUCUUCGGAUGAGUGGAUAGUGUGCCUAAAAGCUUCCAAGAAAAACCUCUAAGCUUCAGAUUAUAAGAACCCGUACCGUAAACCGACACAGGUAGUUGGGAUGAGAAUUCUAAGGUGCUCGAGAGAUUCAUGGCUAAGGAACUAGGCAAAAUGGACCCGUAACUUCGGGAGAAGGGUCCCCUGUAGUAAUACAGGGCGCAGUGAAAAGGCCCAGGCGACUGUUUAACAAAAACACAUGGCUUUGCUAAAUCGAAAGAUGAUGUAUAAGGCCUGACACCUGCCCGGUGCCGGAAGGUUAAGGGGGGGAGUUAUCCUUUGGGAGAAGCU
rnacentral:rRNA from 12 species